rnacentral:lncRNA from 1 species
UCUAACAAUGGCGCCUUCUCCGAUCAUCUUCUCCGUUCUUCUUCUCUUCAUCUUCUCACUCUCAUCAUCUGCUCAAACACCUUUCCGUCCCAAAGCUCUCCUUCUCCCAGUAACAAAAGACCAAUCUACCCUCCAGUACACAACCGUCAUCAACCAACGCACACCUCUCGUCCCCGCUUCCGUCGUCUUCGACCUCGGUGGUCGAGAACUCUGGGUCGACUGCGACAAAGGCUACGUCUCCUCCACUUACCAGUCUCCUCGCUGCAACUCCGCCGUCUGCUCACGUGCCGGCUCCACAAGCUGCGGCACAUGCUUCUCCCCUCCGAGACCUGGCUGUAGUAACAACACUUGCGGCGGCAUUCCGGAUAACACCGUUACCGGUACCGCAACUUCCGGCGAAUUUGCUUUAGACGUUGUGUCUAUCCAGUCCACUAACGGAUCCAAUCCGGGCAGGGUCGUUAAAAUCCCAAAUUUGAUCUUCGAUUGUGGAGCAACGUUUCUUCUUAAAGGACUCGCUAAAGGAACCGUUGGUAUGGCGGGAAUGGGACGUCACAACAUCGGUUUACCGUCGCAAUUCGCCGCCGCGUUUAGCUUCCACCGUAAAUUCGCCGUCUGUCUAACUUCCGGUAAAGGCGUCGCCUUCUUCGGCAACGGACCUUACGUUUUCCUUCCCGGAAUCCAGAUCUCAAGUCUCCAAACGACGCCCCUUCUCAUCAAUCCGGUCAGCACUGCUUCUGCGUUUUCACAAGGUGAGAAAUCCUCAGAGUACUUUAUCGGCGUGACGGCGAUUCAAAUCGUCGAGAAAACAGUUCCGAUCAAUCCAACGCUAUUGAAGAUUAACGCAAGUACCGGUAUCGGAGGAACCAAAAUCAGCUCCGUCAAUCCUUACACGGUGUUGGAGUCAUCGAUCUACAAUGCUUUUACGUCGGAGUUCGUUAAACAAGCAGCGGCGAGGAGCAUCAAGAGAGUAGCGUCGGUGAAACCGUUCGGCGCGUGUUUCAGCACGAAGAACGUCGGCGUGACGCGCCUAGGAUACGCCGUGCCGGAGAUUGAGCUUGUGCUUCAUAGCAAAGACGUCGUUUGGAGGAUAUUUGGAGCCAACUCGAUGGUGAGUGUCAGUGAUGACGUCAUCUGUUUGGGUUUCGUUGACGGAGGAGUCAACGCAAGAACCUCUGUUGUGAUUGGAGGGUUUCAGUUGGAGGAUAAUUUGAUCGAAUUUGAUUUGGCGAGUAACAAAUUUGGGUUUAGUUCCACGUUAUUGGGCCGUCAAACUAACUGCGCCAACUUCAAUUUCACUUCCACUGCUUGAUUAAAUUAGUUGAUCCGUUUUCUUUUUUUAAAACUGUUUUUUAGUGGUUAUUAUAUUAUGUUUGAUGUGAUUAAUAAAGAGCCAAUGGAAUCAUUAUUUGGCAUUUGUUAUCAACUGAUUUGAAUAAAUUAUGUAACGAGUGAAUUUUAUUUGAUAAAUCUUUAAACUUUAGCGCAGGAUUAAAAUUAUAUCUAUAUGAUCAUCUAUAAUAUAAUGUCCAAAUCAUUUCACAUUAGUCAUCCGGUUUAUAAAAUAUCGGAAAAGACAUUGAAUUGUUUAUCCCAACUUUUGUUUAUGUUUCGAGUGUAUUUUUUUUGUCACAAAAAUGUUUAUUUAAGCCAAAACAGAGUCAGUGUAAGAGUGGAAGAAGCCACACAAACAAAAGGGUAACUUAAGAACUAAAGAAGACAAGAUUAUCAAAAAGGAGCGUGACAAUCACUAAAACAGAAUCCAGAAAAAACUUUAUCUGUUUUAGAAUCCUUAUUCAACUAAUCAAACUUAAGUAAACCUGUAAUAGGAACAAUUAAUUAUCUCUUUUUAGGAAGCUUCAGAUUCAGAAUUCCUCCUCUCUCUUCAGCUUGUAGCUUGUGCAUUUGGUUCCUAUUAUUCAAGUGUGAACUAGGACGUCUAGACGAUUCACCAACCUCAAAAUAUCUUGGCAUUCUUGAAGUGAUAUCUUCUUCAUUUAAGGGAAAUAUUAGACCAUGUGGAAGAAAGGCUGUCUUCUCCAUGAAGCAAUAUAGUAUUAUUCAAUCGAGACUGACAAAUUCUGAAAUAGUGAUAAUGGAAGCAAUCGAGAAAGACAGAAGAAUAGUCAAGAAAGGCACUCCCACGCCCACAUGGCAUUUCUUUUAUCCUCCUCUCUUCAUAUUUUUGUAGAGUAUUAAUGAUCAAUUAAUAAGAGCAACUCCGAUGGUUUAGAAUCAAUUGGUUUUUAAUUUUCAUUUUUAACCUUAUUUUAUAUUAAAAUGUUGUUUUUACAAAGUUAAAAAAAAUUAGAAAAAACUUAAUUUAUUUCUACUCCAAUGAUUAAGAACUAUUGGGUUCUUAAAAAAUAACUUGGAUACCCACUCAAUACACAACACAUGUCCUCUUCUUAAUAUUAAGAAAACAUCUUAAUUAAGAUAUAAAUCUUAGCUAAGAUUUGUUGUUUGUAUUAUAUUUAAUCAGUUUAAUAGAUAAGAAUUAGUUAAGAAUUAUCUAAGAACCAAGGUUGGAGUUGCUCUAAGUUACAGUGUUACACACUAUUAUUCUUAAUCAAUCCAAAAUCUAAAUUUCCAUAAACAUGUAUUUUAUUUCAAAUACCUACAAAUAUUGAACUAAAACUAAAACUAAAUUUAUUUCAUUUAACAAAGACGAAUGCAAAAAAACUUAGUGCACAGUAAUCAUAGUAAUUAAACAAAGACAGAUGCCAACAAAAGAAAAACUAAAACACAGUAAACAAAGACCGGUGCCAAAAAAAGAAGAAAAUGCUAUCUUUUAAAGAGGAAACAACUAGAUUUGAUUUGUUUCACUUUCACAUAAAAAAUGAAAGUCAAAAACGUCCUACACCAUUAUCCAAUUAUUCAAAUUAGCCGAGACACAAAAUCUUCUCUAUAAAUAAUAACACUCACACACACACCAAUCCUCUUCAUAAAACUCAUCAUUCCUCAUUCAUCUCUAACAAUGGCGUCUUCUCGAAUCAUCAUCUUCUCCGUUCUUCUUCUCUCCAUCUUCUCACUCUCAUCAUCUGCCCAACCAUCUUUCCGCCCCAAAGCUCUCCUUCUCCCAGUAACAAAAGACCCAUCUACCCUCCAGUACACAACCGUCAUCAACCAACGCACACCUCUCGUCCCCGCUUCCGUCGUAUUCGACCUCGGUGGUCGAGAAUUCUGGGUCGACUGUGACCAAGGCUACGUCUCCACCACUUACCGCUCUCCUCGCUGCAACUCCGCUGUCUGCUCACGCGCCGGCUCCAUCGCCUGCGGCACAUGCUUCUCUCCUCCGAGAC